AGAGUUUGAUCCUGGCUCAGAACGAACGCUGGCGGCGUGCCUAACACAUGCAAGUCGAACGGAAUUGAGGUGCUUGCACUUCAAUUUAGUGGCGCACGGGUGAGUAACGCGUAGAUAAUCUGCCUGAUGAUCUGGGAUAACACUUCGAAAGAGGUGCUAAUACCGGAUAAGCCCACGGAGUCUUUGGACUCUGCGGGAAAAGGGGGGGACCUUCGGGCCUUCUGUCAUCAGAUGAGUCUGCGUACCAUUAGCUAGUUGGUAGGGUAAUGGCCUACCAAGGCUACGAUGGUUAGCUGGUCUGAGAGGAUGAUCAGCCACACUGGAACUGAGACACGGUCCAGACUCCUACGGGAGGCAGCAGUGGGGAAUAUUGGUCAAUGGGCGCAAGCCUGAACCAGCCAUGUCGCGUGCAGGACGACGGCCCUACCGGUUGUAAACUGCUUUUGUACGGGAAGAAAAAACGCCACGUGUGGCGUCUUGCCGGUACCGUACGAAUAAGGAUCGGCUAACUCCGUGCCAGCAGCCGCGGUAAUACGGAGGAUCCGAGCGUUAUCCGGAUUUAUUGGGUUUAAAGGGUGCGUAGGCGGGCUGUUAAGUCAGCGGUGAAAGUUUGGCGCUCAACGUUAAAAUUGCCGUUGAUACUGGAGGCCUUGAGUACGGUUGAGGUAGGCGGAAUGUGGUGUGUAGCGGUGAAAUGCUUAGAUAUGCCACAGAACACCGAUUGCGUAGGCAGCUUACUAAAGCGUAACUGACGCUGAGGCACGAAAGCGUGGGGAUCAAACAGGAUUAGAUACCCUGGUAGUCC
rnacentral:rRNA from 1 species